rnacentral:rRNA from 1 species
UACGGGGGGAGCAAGCGUUGUUCGGAUUUACUGGGCGUAAAGGGCGCGUAGGCGGUCAGCACAAGUCAGUUGUGAAAUCUCCGGGCUUAACCCGGAAAGGUCAACUGAUACUGUGCGACUAGAGUGCGGAGGGGGCAACUGGAAUUCUCGGUGUAGCGGUGAAAUGCGUAGAUAUCGAGAGGAACACCUGCGGCGAAGGCGGGUUGCUGGGCCGACACUGACGCUGAGACACGAAAGCGUGGGUAGCAAACAGG